rnacentral:rRNA from 1 species
CCUACGGGUGGCUGCAGUGGGGAAUAUUGCACAAUGGGCGCAAGCCUGAUGCAGCCAUGCCGCGUGUGUGAAGAAGGCCUUCGGGUUGUAAAGCACUUUCAGCGGGGAGGAAGGCGGUGAGGUUAAUAACCUCAUCGAUUGACGUUACCCGCAGAAGAAGCACCGGCUAACUCCGUGCCAGCAGCCGCGGUAAUACGGAGGGUGCAAGCGUUAAUCGGAAUUACUGGGAGUAAAGCGCACGCAGGCGGUCUGUCAAGUCGGAUGUGAAAUCCCCGGGCUCAACCUGGGAACUGCAUUCGAAACUGGCAGGCUAGAGUCUUGUAGAGGGGGGUAGAAUUCCAGGUGUAGCGGUGAAAUGCGUAGAGAUCUGGAGGAAUACCGGUGGCGAUGGCGGCCCCCUGGACAAAGACUGACGCUCAGGUGCGAAAGCGUGGGGAGCAAACAGGAUUAGAUACCCGGGUAGUC